rnacentral:piRNA from 1 species
AAGGCAAACAGGAGCUGACUCUUAGGGUGU